UUUCCGUAGGCGAACCUGCGGAAGGAUCAUUG
rnacentral:rRNA from 1 species